AUUGAACGCUGGCGGCAUGCCUUACACAUGCAAGUCGAACGGCAGCACGGGUGCUUGCACCUGGUGGCGAGUGGCGAACGGGUGAGUAAUAUAUCGGAACGUACCUUAUUGUGGGGGAUAACGCAGCGAAAGCUGUGCUAAUACCGCAUGAUCCCUAAGGGGGAAAGCGGGGGACCGUAAGGCCUCGCGCAAUUAGAGCGGCCGAUACCUGAUUAGCUAGUUGGGGAGGUAAAGGCUCACCAAGGCAACGAUCAGUAGCUGGUCUGAGAGGACGAUCAGCCACACUGGGACUGAGACACGGCCCAGACUCCUACGGGAGGCAGCAGUGGGGAAUUUUGGACAAUGGGGGCAACCCUGAUCCAGCAAUGCCGCGUGAGUGAAGAAGGCCUUCGGGUUGUAAAGCUCUUUUGUCAGGGAAGAAACAGCAGCUCUAACACAGUUUGCGAAUGACGGUACCUGAAGAAUAAGCACCGGCUAACUACGUGCCAGCCGCCGCCGUAAAAC
rnacentral:rRNA from 1 species